GGGGAUCCGGAGCUUCGGGCUUCGGCUCGACUCUCCCACCCUUUGUGAACGUACCUCUGUUGCUUUGGCGGCUCCGGCCGCCAAAGGACCUCCAAACUCCAGUCAGUAAACGCAGACGUCUGAUAAACAAGUUAAUAAACUAAAACUUUCAACAACGGAUCUCUUGGUUCUGGCAUCGAUGAAGAACGCAGCGAAAUGCGAUAAGUAAUGUGAAUUGCAGAAUUCAGUGAAUCAUCGAAUCUUUGAACGCACAUUGCGCCCCUUGGUAUUCCGGGGGGCAUGCCUGUUCGAGCGUCAUUACAACCCUCAAGCUCUGCUUGGAAUUGGGCACCGUCCUCACUGCGGACGCGCCUCAAAGACCUCGGCGGUGGCUGUUCAGCCCUCAAGCGUAGUAGAAUACACCUCGCUUUGGAGUGGUUGGCGUCGCCCGCCGGACGAACCUUCUGAACUUUUCUCAAGGUUGACCUCGGAUCAGGUAGGGAUACCCGCUGAACUUAAGCAUAUCAAAA
rnacentral:rRNA from 1 species